rnacentral:ncRNA from 1 species
ACUAUUUAUUAAAAACACAAGACUCUGCUAAGUGGUAACACGAUGUAUAGAGUCUGACACUUGUCCGGUGCUGGAAGGUCAGAAGGAGAAGUGUUCUAAGCUUUGAAUGGAAGCCCCGGUAAACGGCGGCAGUAACUCUAACUGUCCUAAGGUAGCGAACCUAGUGGUGAGAAUCUACAACUUGGAUAGUCUGA